UACGGAGGGUGCAAGCGUUUAUCCGGAUUCACUGGGUUUAAAGGGUGCGUAGGCGGACAGGUAAGUCCGUGGUGAAAUCCUGCAGCUUAACUGCAGAACUGCCAUGGAUACUAUCUAUCUUGAAUGUCGUGGAGGUUAGCGGAAUAUGUCAUGUAGCGGUGAAAUGCUUAGAGAUGACAUAGAACACCCAUUGCGAAGGCAGCUAACUACGCGAUAAUUGACGCUGAUGCACGAAAAGCGUGGGGGAUCAAACAGG
rnacentral:rRNA from 1 species